rnacentral:rRNA from 1 species
GACGAACGCUGGCGGCAUGCCUAACACAUGCAAGUCGAACGAAGCCUUCGGGCUUAGUGGCGCACGGGUGCGUAACGCGUGGGAAUCUGCCCUUGGGUUCGGAAUAACAGUUAGAAAUGACUGCUAAUACCGAAUGAUGUCUUCGGACCAAAGAUUUAUCGCCCAAGGAUGAGCCCGCGUCGGAUUAGCUGGUUGGUGAGGUAAAGGCUCACCAAGGCGACGAUCCGUAGCUGGUCUGAGAGGAUGAUCAUCCACACUGGGACUGAGACACGGCCCAGACUCCUACGGGAGGCAGCAGUGGGGAAUAUUGGACAAUGGGCGCAAGCCUGAUCCAGCAAUGCCGCGUGAGUGAUGAAGGCCUUCGGGUCGUAAAGACUCUUUUACCCGGGUACGUUGAUAAUGACAGU